rnacentral:tRNA from 1 species
AGGGUUUUAGUUAAUUUAUAACAUUUAAAUUGCAUUUAAAAAUUAUAUUUACUAAUGUUUAAUAUAAAUCUUA